GCGGAUAUGGCGGAAUUGGCAGACGCGCUAGAUUCAGGUUCUAGUGACCGAAAGGUCGUGGAGGUUCGACUCCUCUUAUCCGCA
rnacentral:tRNA from 2 species